rnacentral:rRNA from 1 species
AUUGAACGCUGGCGGCAGGCCUAACACAUGCAAGUCGAACGGUAACAGGAAGAAGCUUGCUUCUUUGCUGACGAGUGGCGGACGGGUGAGUAAUGUCUGGGAAACUGCCUGAUGGAGGGGGAUAACUACUGGAAACGGUAGCUAAUACCGCAUAACGUCGCAAGACCAAAGAGGGGGACCUUCGGGCCUCUUGCCAUCGGAUGUGCCCAGAUGGGAUUAGCUAGUAGGUGGGGUAACGGCUCACCUAGGCGACGAUCCCUAGCUGGUCUGAGAGGAUGACCAGCCACACUGGAACUGAGACACGGUCCAGCCUCCUACGGGAGGCAGCGGUGGGGAAUAUUGCACCAUGGCCGCAAGCCUGAUGCAGCCACGCCGAGUGUAUGAAGAAGGCCUUCGGGUUGUAAAGUACUGUCAGCGGGGAGGAAGGGAGUAACGUUAAUACCUUUGCUGAUUGACGUUACCCGCAGAAGAAGCACCGGCUAACUCCGUG